rnacentral:rRNA from 1 species
UACGAAGGGGGCUAGCGUUGUUCGGAAUUACUGGCGUAAAGCGCGCGCAGGCGGUCCUUUAAGUCAGGGGUGAAAUCCUGGAGCUCAACUCCAGAACUGCCUUUGAUACUGAGGGGCUCGAGUCCGGGAGAGGUGAGUGGAACUGCGAGUGUAGAGGUGAAAUUCGUAGAUAUUCGCAAGAACACCAGUGGCGAAGGCGGCUCACUGGCCCGGUACUGACGCUGAGGUGCGAAAGCGUGGGGAGCAAACAGG